GAUGAACGCUGGCGGCGUGCCUAAUACAUGCAAGUCGAGCGAACGGACGAGAAGCUUGCUUCUCUGAUGUUAGCGGCGGACGGGUGAGUAACACGUGGAUAACCUACCUAUAAGACUGGGAUAACUUCGGGAAACCGGAGCUAAUACCGGAUGAUAUUUUGAACCGCAUGGUUCAAAAGUGAAAGACGGUCUUGCUGUCACUUAUAGAUGGAUCCGCGCUGCGUUAGCUAGUUGGUAAGGUAACGGCUUACCAAGGCAACGAUGCAUAGCCGACCUGAGAGGGUGAUCGGCCACACUGGAACUGAGACACGGUCCAGACUCCUACGGGAGGCAGCAGUAGGGAAUCUUCCGCAAUGGGCGAAAGCCUGACGGAGCAACGCCGCGUGAGUGAUGAAGGUCUUCGGAUCGUAAAACUCUGUUAUUAGGGAAGAACAUAUGUGUAAGUAACUGUGCACAUCUUGACGGUACCUAAUCAGAAAGCCACGGCUAACUACGUG
rnacentral:rRNA from 1 species